UGCUUUUGAAAUUAAAAAAAAAAAAAAAAAAAAAAAAAGUUGUUAAUAAGAAUUAGGUCCAAACUGUCAAAUCACAGAGCCAUUUACAUCUUUUAGGUCCAGGGAGGAUUUGACUAUUUAUAAGCACUUGAAAGAGCAAAGGUGUCAAUAUUAGCUACUCUGUGAGUAGCAAGUACUUCAGGACAGAGAUUGUGAAGUACAUUCCUUCAUUAAGCUGCAGUGUUAGCUUCUGUCCUGCCUACUGUAGCUUUAUCAGCAAAAGGGAGCAGCAGAGGAAACCACUGCGUGCAGUUUGAGGAGACGUGAUUAAAAAGACAUACAACACUUCGAGCUGAGGCUGAACUAGGUAUGUCUUUCGAGAGACAUUGAUCUAAAAACAUUGGAAUGCUUUUUAAAGGUGUGUGCAGGUGUGAUGUGGUGGCGGGGCGGAGUGGGGCGGAGGGGGGCGGGGGGUAAUUCAGUCUUUGUUUUGUCCUCCGAAGGUCCAAGAUGAGACAUUGUACAGUAGUCCAGCAGCAGCUCAGUCACAGUCCUGACUGAGAGGCUGCUUCUUAGUGCCAGUAUUCUUCCACCGUCCAGAUUAAUGUUUUCACCCUCAGGAAGGAUUUCCUUCAGUCUAACACUUCAUCCACCACUGUACGACUACCAUCAUAGUGUUAGGGAGGUGUAGGUGAAGUUUUCACCCAAGCUCAGACGCGACAUGUGCGCGGAGAGACGUGGGGAUCAUUGAAGAGA